UCCCUGGUGGCCCAGUAGAUAAGACUCUGUACUUCCAAUUCAUGAGGUACAGGUUCAAUCCCUGGUCAGGGAA
rfam:Ovis aries breed Texel chromosome 13, whole genome shotgun sequence.